rnacentral:lncRNA from 1 species
UGGAAAGACGCCUCUGGCAGGGAGAGCUGAACUCACACACUACAAGCAUGGAGAAAGGCUCUACAGCUGCCUUUUUGGCCCUGCUUCUGUGGUUCUCUGGCUCAUGUCAGGAGAGGACGAGAGAGCUCGGUGCUACCUUCUACAGUAAAGUUGCUCAAUUGUUGAAGGAGGAGCCUGAGAACCCUAAGUGUUUCACAGAGCACCUGGAAGACCUGACCUGCUUCUGGGAGACAUCAGAACACCCUGCAAAGCAGGAGUGGNGCACAUACAGCUUGCAGUACAAAUACGAGGAAGAUCCAUCUCUGAAGCUAUGUAAUUUGACUGUGGAAAGCACAUCCAAGAAUACAACAAGCUACACUUGCUUCUUCCAAAGGCAGGAUGUUUCGGGCUUUAGUCCCCUCCAGAUCCAGGUCACCGAUGAGCGUUCCCCCAAGAAACUGCUCUACAAUAGAACCAUCUUUGUAGAAAAACUAAGUAAGUCCUAAACACAGGGCUGAUGGCUCUUGGGGGAAGGGAGCCCGCCUUCAUCUCUCCCUCUUCAUAGAGUAUAAAGAAAUCAUAUUAGGUGAUGGAGUUUGUGUGUA